CUCCACCUUAUAUAUAUUAUCAUGUAGGAGAUAGAGUGCUUGCUGCAGUAAGUUCAGGUGUUUUGUGUUGCAGAGAAAACUGUAAAAUCUGUUUUAGAUGUUUGCAUGUUUACCUAGUUUUUCACUUCAAAAAAUUGGUGAAGAGACUUCUGUCAAAAGAAUUUCAGUGGGCUACCUACCACCUCUUUCCCACAGUGGAAGCAGAGAUUGGUGAUUAAUAUCCUCUGUCCUGCGGGGGAAAAAAUUCAUGAUGUCAGAAAAUGAGUGAGUCAACAGAAAGCCUACCUAAGAGUCUCCUUGGCUGAGGAGGAAGACGAAAGCACAGUUCUGAGCAUGAGAGCUCACAUUCUGUUUCUACCAGGUGCUGAAGAAAAGCAAGACAGGUGGUUAAGACUGAAGAGUUGAUCCUGCGCUGUGCUGUGGAGUGGGCAGCUUCUCUCCAUCUUCUCUCACCCUGACACACUGUCUUAGGAUUCCAGUCUCAGAAGCCAGUCUUGAGGCUGAAGUGCAGUGGUGUGAUCCUGGCUCACUGCAGCCUCUGCCUCCCAGGUUCAAGCAAUUCUCUCACAUCAGCCUCCCAAGUAGUUGGAAUUACAGGAACAUAAGCUCCAGGAAAGCCACAGACUAUGGCCACCUACAUCUUGAAGCUCCGUGCCUGCCCUUGGGAGACACUAAAUGGAGUCUUGCUCUGUCGUCAGGCUGGAGUGCACUGGCGUAAUCUGGGCUUACUGCAACCUCCGCCUCCCGGAUUCAAGCGAUUCUCCUGCCUCAGCCUCCCGAGUGGCUGGGACUACAGGCAUGCGCCACCAUGCCGGCCUAAUGUUUUGUAUUUUAGUAGAGACGGGGUUUCACUAUGUUGGCCAGGAUGGUCUCAAUCUCCCGACCUCAUGAUCCACCUGCCUCGGCCUCCCAAAGUGCUGGGAUUACAGGUGUGAGCCGCCAUGCCCAGCCUCAUGAGGGUUAUUAAGCACAUAAUUAUAGAAUGUGUUUUCUUCUUUUAACUACGAUAAGCAUUGUUCAGUAUUCUGUGGGUUUUUCUUUCUCCUUGCAAUGUCAACAGAAUACAUAAUGAGAAAGGUCAUGUCAGGGUCUUUUUGUUUCUCAAAGAUAUCUGAUGAAAUCUGAGGAAGUCAGCUUUACAAAUAACAUAAACUCUGGAGCUCCGUAAGCUGAACGAGUUAGUCUUGGAAGAGUUGCCUCUGCAGCAUUGCUACUCAGAACUUCUAUGAAAACCACAAGAAGUGGUGAGAGGAAGCGGCAAAAUCAAUGACAGAACACAAAUACCCUCUUCUGCCAACCGCUUAAAAGGAAAUUAUGGGGGGCUGGGUCGGUGGUUCGGUGGCUCACGCCUGUAAUCCCAACACUUUGGGAGGCUAAGGCGAGAGGAUUGCUUGAGCCCAGGAGUUUGAGACCAGCCAGGGAAACAUACAGAGAUGUCAGCUCUACAAACGAUAAUAAAAAGAAAAUUAUCCAAGCAUGGUGGUACACGCCUGUUGUCCCCACUACUUGGGAGGCUGAGUGGGAGAGGCUGAGGUUGGCAGAUUGCUUGAGCCAUGAUCACACCACUGCACUCAGUCUGGGUGACAGAGCAAGACCCAGUCUCAAAACAACAACAACAACAACAACAAAACCCAGAAAAUUCUUCACAAAGGUUAUACAUUUUCUCAAUAAUAUACAAAUUUGAGAAAUGUGAAGUACAUUUAAUUGAAUUAUGUAAAAUAUAACACAGACUUCAUAUAUUCAAUUCACAAAUAAAUUUUCUAGGUUCUUUACUUUUUCAUGUUCAUAUGUUUUUUAUGAAGAACAUAUGGUCACCUAAGAAGAAUAAAAUAAAAACCCAUCAAACAGAAAUAUUCAUAUCCUCCCCAAACCGUAUUAUCUUAAACACAAUUACAAACUUAUUUAAUUACACAAGUGAGAAUCUUAAGCUGAGAGAAGAAAAUUUCUAGAGAAAUUUCUUUUGUUCAUUAUAGGAUUAUUUCAAUACUGAAGGAUAGUCUUCGACAUUAGAAUUGCUUCCUUUUAAAGUGUACAAAUGCCAGUGUAAAAGGAAACAUCAUAACAUCCAUUUCAGCCUUAAUUUUCUAAUGGCUCAGGCCGUUUUUAUACAGUGUAUUCUUCUCCAGUGUCUUAAGAUAGUUUGGAAACAGUACCUGUUGAACCUUUCAGAGAGCAGUCUACCAUAUAUCCCUUGAUCCUCAAUUUCUAAUUUAGAUUCAUUUGUGGUUGUUACAGUUAUAAGUAACGUACAUUUAAGAAAGAUAUAUCUGUAGAACAGUUUCUGCACUUAUAUGUGUAUAUAAAUUAUAUGUCUGCUAAAUUUUUUUUGGCCUUUGUACUUGAAAAAAAAUUAACAGAUGUUAAAAUAUUUGGCUCACAAGCAAUGUUAAAAACAAUCUGUAGAUAAUGCUUCCUUAUUUUUCUUGGAUUAAUGUAAAAUCAGGAUUAAUUUGCUUUGUGUACCUGGGAAAUAAUCUCGUUUGUAUGCUUGUUUCUAGGAUGUCUUUUACUCUUCAUAAUAAUAAAAAAGUCAGUGCAUGUCAGUAUAUACAUAUCCUUCUUGAUUUUAUCUGGAAAUUAUUAGGUUUGAUCUCAAUUAUUUAUCAUUUAUAUCCAUUAGCUUUUUAACCCAUAAUUGUCAUUAUUAAAAUUUUUUUCAUGUUUACUACUGUGAAAGGUUCAUGGAAUUCACUUUGGGUAUACUGAAAACAUUAUAUGUGAAAUACUUUGCAGAGAUUCUAGCACACAGACAAAAUUCAGUAGCUGAUAUUUAGAGUUAUUAUUCCCAGUCUUGGAGUUAAUCCCAAAUUGAGGAUUUCUUCCCAAUACUGCCAAGAAAUUUUAGUAUAAGGGUCCAGCAAUGUUUGCUCUUGCCUGUCUGUGCUGACCCUUGGCCACUACACAAGUCCCGAGAGAGAGUUUAUAAUACCUGAUGACAGAUGUUUCUGAUAAUUUCAGCAUUGUAUUAUGACCCUCUAGAUUAACUACUUAUGAGUUCCUUUAUGACUUUGGGGACAAUCUCCAAAUCUCAUGCUGUAUUUCCUAGGAAGCAGCUAUUCCCUAUAGCUGUUGCUUGUUUUUCCAUCUCACUACUCCACAGACACUCUCAGUUAGUAUGUGUAAGGCCCAGCCUGUCCUUGCUGUGGUUGAAACCUUUAUGCCUGACUAUGUGAGUUAAAAUAUUUCUAACCUGCACACCAAUGAAGCACUUUACCUUAAACUAUCACAUAUACUGAUAACUACACGAUACAAGAUUGAUUCAUUCAUUAAUAAAAUCUCAUUGUACAUUCUCUUAAAAUAAUGGAAACUAUUCUUCUUCCUUUUCUAAUUAUCUCUCAAAUUGCUUUAUCAUCGGUUACCAAUAGUUAGUAAAGCAGAACUGUGUUACAUGAACCAUAGAUUUAGCAUAUGUUUCCAUUUGUUCCAGUGGCAGCCUGACUUUAAUGACAAUUAAUUGGUUCAAAGUCUAAUCACUUUGAUUAAGCUGACUAGAAGCAGGGAAAAACAAUCAAUUUCUGUGCCUUUCCUUCCAUUAUAAAAGAGGAAACAGGGAGAAAGUUAACAUUAAUUGAACACUACCUUUUUUAAAAAAUGUGUUCUAUGCUUCGUAUAUAUUACAUUAAAUAAAUUUGCUCUAUUCUUCUAUUGUGCAAUUACAUUUAUAUUUCUAUGAAUGUAUACCAACUUACAGUACUGCAAAAUGUAACAUGUAGAGCUCUUUGUAUGAAUCCUAUGGAUUUAGUAAUUUAUAGUGUUUUUAAAAUUCUGUUUCACACUUAAUGUUCAUGUUGUCUCAACUGUAAAAUUAUGAGCUAUCUAGUAUCACAUAUAUUCUCAUGUAGUCCUUCAGUCAAGCUAGGUCUACAAACAACCACUAAAAUGGCCAUUUUUGAGUCAACUCUUUUAAUCUCAGCUAUCUUAUAAGACGGUGAUAAUGAUACAGGUGAUGAUGUCUAUGCUCCAUUUUAUGGACCUUGUUGAUUAUUAUGCCUUAAUCCCAGCAGUUUGGGAGGCCCAGGCGCAUGGAUCACGAGGUCAGGAGAUUGAGACCAUCCUGGCUAACACGGUGAAACCCCGUCUCUACUAAAAAUACAAAAAAUUAGCAGGGUGUGGUGGUGGGCGCCUGUAGUUCCAGCUACUCUGGAGGCUGAGGCAGGAGAAUGGCGUGAGCCCGGGAGGCGGAAUUUGCAGUGAGCGGAGAUCACACCACUGCACUCCAGCCUGGGCUACAGAGCGAGACUCCUCUAAAAAAAACAAACAAACCAACAAACUAAUCACUGUAAUAACUCAGUUUUUAUUGUUUACUGUUGUAUUAGUUCACUAGGGCUGUCAUAACAAAGUACUAUGGACUGGGUGGCCUAAGCAACAGAAAUUUAUUUCCUGACAGGUUUGGAGGCUGGAAGUCCAAGAUCAAGAUCUUAGUAGAGUUGGUUUCUGCUGAGGCCACUCUCUUUGGCUUGUAAGAGGGAUCUUCUCCAUGUGUCUUCACACGGUCUUCCUUCUCUGUUUGCAUGUGUCCUAAUCUCCUCUUUUUAUAAAAACACCAGUUACAUUAGAUUAGGGCACCCUAAUGAUGCCAAAAUUCUUUAAAGACUCAUCUCUAAUAUGGUUACAUUCUAAGGAACUGGGGGUUAAGACUUCAACAUAUGAAUUUCUAGAAGAGCACAAUUCAGGCCACAACACCACUAACCCUUUACAAUGUAUUGGAGUAGAUAACAUAUCUUUCCUUAUUCCUAAAUGAAAAACAUGGUGUACAUGAAUUUUUUUUUUUUUUUGGCUAACCUGUUUAGAUCACCUUGGGAUUCAAUUCAGAAAUUAGAAUAUACUGUUUAGUAGUACUAAUCAAAACUCUAAAUGUAAUGUAAUAUCAAAUAAUUCCCCCUUCUUCACAUUGGGCCUAAUUUAUGUUGGCAGCCUGCAGAGGCAAAGGCUUUUUCUGUUUUACGACUUAAGCUUUUUUUUUAUUCCUCACUGUUCCUACCCACUCCUAAAUUCACCCAGUCUGCUAAUCAAUUUAUUUUUUAUUUUUUAUUUUUUUAUUCUUCCAGAGUGGCAAAGCUGUAAGAGAGGUCUUACUUGAACUGGUUUGUAUAACUCCUUCCUGUUCUCUGGCCUGCCAGAGAUUUAAAGCUCCCUGUCCUGAGACCAUUUGGAUUUUCUUAGAGAUUCCCAUCUCUGAGCACCUCUUAACUGAAGUGCAAAGAGAGAGGACAAUGCAUAUUUUAUAAGUGAGCCACUUUUUGUGAAAACUCUGGGAGGCAGGCUAACCUUAGGCAGUGCAGUCAGCUCCCUGUAUUCAGUUGUCACAAGCCAGCCUUAUCAUGUGUGAGUCAGGCCACAGCCUGCCAUAUUCUCAAGUACCAGAAGCAUAUACCAAGCUCUCCAACUGGCAUCCUGCAUAAUUUGCAGGUCCCAGUGCAAAAUGAAAAUGCAGAACUUAUUUUUAUAAAAUUACCAAGAAUUCCAAGAUUGUAGGGAUCUGUGUGAUUGCAUGGGUUGCAAGCUCAAGAACUUCCUGGCCUUGAAUCCUCCUCUUACUGGAAGCUAGAAUCCCAGCCCAUCUCCUCUAGAGGGAGGGCAACUAAUCUCUCCAGGCAAAAUCUUGUAAUCUUCUUCAUAUUCUGAUACUUUCCAUUAUGGGUUGAACUGUGGCUCCCCAGAUGAUAUAUUGAAGUACUAACCACCAGUACCAAAAAAUGUGCACACUUAUGGAGAUAGUCCUCAUGAUGAAGUCAUACUGGAGUAAGAUGGGCCCUUAAUCUAAAAGGACUGGCGUCCUUAUAAGAGAAUAGAGACAGAGAAAAGACAGCCAUGUGAUGAUGGAAGUAGAGACUGGAAUGAUGCAUCUACAAGCCAUGGGACACCAAGGAUUGUUGGCAAACACCGGAAGCUAGAAGAGGAAAAAGAUGAUUCUCCCUUAGGUUUCAGAGGGAGUAUGGCACUUCUGACACCUUGAUUUCAGACUUCUAGCCUCCAGAACUAUAAGACAAUAAAUUUCUAUUAAGCAAUUUACUAGGUUUCUAUUAAGCAACCUAGUUUGCAGUAAUUUGAUACAACAGCUCCAGCAAACCAACAUACCUCCUUUUCCUCCUCAUGCUGGUUGAAGUGUCUAAAGUCACGAAAUCAGAUUUCCAAAGUGUCUUUGCAAAUUUUGCACAGGAAAAUCUGAUUUUAGAUUGUCAUUGCAAAUUUUGCAUAGGGAAAUCUGAUUUUACAUUUCACAUUUAUUGUAUCUUGGUAUCUGGGCUGAAAUUUUAACAUCCAGUUAUACUUUCCAAUAGUAUAAAAUCAACCAUUUUCAAAAUACUUUUAUAUUAUAGCUGUAUCUUCAUAAAGGUGUUUUAUAAUGUGACUAGGUGAUUUCCUGAUUUUAUGUAUACUUUAUUGAAGUCGUAAUGAUUUCUGCUUCUGAAUUUAUAUUGUAAUCAAAUGAGUACUAUCUAUAAUGGAUGAUACUACAUAUAAAGCCAAUUCAAAUCUCAAUUCCUUUUAAUCUCUGUAUUUUUCUUUUCAUAGAUGAUGUUUUAGUCCGUUCUCACACUGCUAUAAGGACAUACCUAAGACUGGGUAAUUUAUAAAGGAAAGAGGUUUAAUGGACUCACAGUUCCACAUAGCUGGGGAGGCUCACAAUUGUGGUGGAAGGUGAAGGAGGAGCAAAGGCACAUCCCACAUGGUGGCAGGCAAGAGAGCGUGUGCAGGGAAACUGCCCUUUAUAAAACCAUCAGCUCUCGUGAGACUUAUUCACUAUCAUGAGAACAACAUGGGAAAAACCUGCCCCCAUGAUUCAAUUAUCUCCCACCAGGUCCCUCUCAUGACACGUGGGGAUUAUGGGAGCUACAAUUCAAGAUGAGAUUUUGGUGGAGACACAGCCAAAUCAUAUCAGAUG
rnacentral:lncRNA from 1 species